AUUCCAGCUCCAAUAGCGUAUAUUAAAGUUGUUGCAGUUAAAAAGCUCGUAGUUGGAUUUCUGGUUUCACAGAACUGGCCUACUUCCUCAAGGUCGUGUGCGCCGUGUUUUGUGUACCAUCCUUCUAGAAAUUGUGUUCCAUCCCUUCACUGGGAUAGAUCCGAGAUCUAGAUCUUUUACUUUGAAGAAAUUAGAGUGUUCAAAGCAGGCUCGCGCUGUGAAUACAUUAGCAUGGAAUAAUAAUUUAGGACUUGGUAUCCUAUUUUGUUGGUUUGCAUUCCAAAGUAAUGAUUAAUAGGGAUAGUUGGGGGUACUCGUAUUCAAUUGUCAGAGGUGAAAUUCUUGGAUUUAUGGAAGACGAACUACUGCGAAAGCAUUUACCAAGGAUGUUUUCAUCA
rnacentral:rRNA from 1 species